AUUGAACGCUGGCGGCAGGCCUAACACAUGCCAGUCGAACGGUAACAGGAAGAAGCUUGCUUCUUUGCUGACGAGUGGCGGACGGGUGAGUAAUGUCUGGGAAACUGCCUGAUGGAGGGGGAUAACUACUGGAAACGGUAGCUAAUACCGCAUAACGUCGCAAGACCAAAGAGGGGGACCUUCGGGCCUCUUGCCAUCGGAUGUGCCCAGAUGGGAUUAGCUAGUAGGUGGGGUAACGGCUCACCUAGGCGACGAUCCCUAGCUGGUCUGAGAGGAUGACCAGCCACACUGGAACUGAGACACGGUCCAGACUCCUACGGGAGGCAGCAGUGGGGAAUAUUGCACAAUGGGAGCAAGCCUGAUGCAGCCAUGCCGCGUGUAUGAAGAAGGCCUUCGGGUUGUAAAGUACUUUCAGCGGGGAGGAAGGGAGUAAAGUUAAUACCUUUGCUCAUUGACGUUACCCGCAGAAGAAGCACCGGCUAACUCCGUG
rnacentral:rRNA from 1 species